AAUUCUCAAACCUUCAUCGGUUCUUGCGACUUUUGAAGGCUUUGGAUGUGGGAGUUGCUGGUUUUUCGCAAAGUCAGCUCUUCUUAAAUGCAUUAGUGGUUACUGUUCUCCACUUCGACGUGAUAGUUAUCUACGUCUAUGGGUGGAGAUGUUAAGUGUAGCUGCUCUCUAACCGUCUAAGAUUAAUUCUGGACAACUUUUGAACC
rnacentral:misc_RNA from 1 species